CCUUGUUGGAGGAGGUGUGUCAUGGGUGGCUUUGAAGUUUUAGAAGCUUCUCACCAUCCCCAGCGAGCCGUUUCCUUCCUGUUUGUGGCUAAGAUGUAAGCUCUCAGCUGCUGCUCUGGCAACAUGCCCGCCUGCCUGCUGCCAAGCUCCCUGCCGUGAUGGUGGUGGACUCCUAUCCCUCUGGAACUAGAUGCAGUUUUAAACAGAACUGAUCUGUUACUCAAUUUGGUGGAGGGAGUGACAGCUUCUCUUUAUCUAUCCUCCUGCCUCAUCUGUAAGAACUGUGCACCACCACACCUCCCUGAUAAGCCUUUGGUCUAGGACAGCAAUGCUGUUUCCAGCUGUUCCAGGAUAUAAAUUGUAAAUACAUCUAUUCUCCAAAUGGGUGUGGGCUGUAAUCAUCCUAAAACGCUUAGAUCUAACAAAGCACUGACUUUUAAAGAAGGAUUUACUUGUUUUUAUUUUGGGUGUAUGAAUGUUUGCCUACAUGUUCAUAUGUGCAUCACGUGGUGCCUGAUGCCUGGUACCUGCAGAGUGAGAAGAGGACAUCAGAUCCUCUGAAACUGGAGUUACAGAUAGCUGUAAGGUACCAUGUGGGUUCCGGGAACCAAACUUGGGUGCUCUGCAGAGCAGCAAAUGCUCUUAACCACUGAGCUGUUUCUCCAGCCCACCACUGAUUCUCAUGGUUUGGAAGGUAAAAUCCAAUAAUUCAUUGACUCAGCAAUAAUUUCAAAGUUUGGUGUGGUAGCCAUGCCUGUAAUCUUAGCACUUAGGGGGCUGAGACAGGAAAACUCCAUCAAGUUGGAGGCCAGCAUAGAGCUACAUAGCCCUGUGGGGGAGGGGGAAGUAAUAUCUAAAUUCCCAAUUUGCUUUGCCAUGGCCAAAAUGUCUUCCUUUGCAAAAAAAACCUAGAGAGACAUACAAAAGAAUUAUGUUUGAAGCGACAUUAAAAAGAAUAUAAAAUAUCAAGCUGGCUAGUGACAAAGCUACAAAAAGGGGCUGGAGUUGUAGUUUGGGGGCAAAUACUUGCUGAGCAUGUACAAGGCCGAAAGGCCCUGGGGUCCAUCCAUAGCAACUGGCAGGCUCUUCUAAAGUAUGCCAGAAAUAUUUCCUCCCUGGGGUGAUGCCUAGUAAAAUCUGCAAGGCAGGAAGGGUGAGGUCCAGCCACUCAUGUUAUGAUCUCAGGGCUCAUGCCAGGCACAGGUGCUUUUUAUUGAUUUUUCUGGAACUCUCUAAGUCAACUGGCCUAUCAAAAGGGAAACAGGUAGGAAAAACAAACAAACAAACAAACAAACAAACAAACAGUCAGCUGUCCCUCUGGGUCUUAUUUUAAUAGAAAAAUACGGCCAGUGUGCCCAGAGGACUUGAUCAUUCACUGGGCAAAUGUCCUGUGUGUAAUACUCUAAUUUACAUAUCAGCCUCACCAUCAUUUGGUUAAUAGCUUUGCAUAACAGAAAAGGUAGGUAGAAGUUGGCUACAUUGGCCCACACCUGUAAAUCCCACUUCUCAAGACACUGAAGCCUUCAUUGGAUACUGAGUUCAAGGUCAGUUUGACCUUCUCAAAACAACACCACAAAGUGAGAUGAGCAGAGGGCAUCCUGGCACCACUAAACAGAUAAGGAAAUUAACGUUCCUCAAAUAACUGGGGCUCAAGAAUAAACUGACUGCCCAGGCAAACAGAACUCAGCAAGCUUUCCUCAAUCUGAACCUAUUUCAUUAUCCUUUUAUCUCAAAGCCACUGACACAGUGAAGUGAUGGCACAGGGCUGUGCCUGACCUUUAGAGGCUUGCAAGCAGUCUUUCUGAGAAGUCUUUCAUCUCUGGCUUGGCCAAGAGGAAUUACUUUCUUCUCUAGGUAUCUUGCUGUCCUGCUUCACACAGGUGCCAUGGGGUCUCAGUGGAAGGCAAGUCACAGGAGGGCUGACAGACAAAGCUAUAGGUUCAGGCCUUUCAUGUCCCUUGAGGGCUCCAGAGCAAGACAGUGUACUGAAGAACCAUCAACACCUGGCUGGCAUGGCACAGCUCUGGAGCCUUCCACACACACAUCUGUCCCCACCAUUGUCAGCACAAGUAACACACCAAGCAUCCUUACUGAUGACUGCAGGAAGUGACCCCACCAAAUUGAAAACAAGAUCACAAGCAAAUCAGCAGUGUAAUUCAGGCCACUUCCUGAUGGGUAAUUUGAUUAGAACAAGGUAGAAGCAUAAAAGUGGAUCAGUAAAAACAACCCGCAGACACAGAUCAGCCUUCAACUGUGCUGCCAUUAAGCCACCAACGUUGAUGAGAAGUGCCCCCCAAAGCUGCCCUCCACCAUCACUGCAAGUCAUGACACACCUAACAUUCUCCUCUACCAGACCAAGUGCAACUACCUCAACAGGGUCAAAUGUGAUGCAGCUUGAAAAACCCUACUGCAAAGACACUGAGCUGAUUCAGUGGAGGCCAGCCUUGGUGACGUAAGGAGGCCAUGUCUUUUGCAGCAAACAAUUAAGCAGAUGCUUCAGUCUGCUGGAGUGUGUGUGGGGGGGGGGGAGUUACACAGUGGGAAACAGUUUUCAAAUGGAUUAUCAAUGAUAAUGGGCUGCAAGGCUUCACAGGGAAUCCAUGGGCAUAGAUACAGCAGAGGAACACUUCUGGGUGCUUAGAGCUGGAAGACUGAAGAGUCCUGUGCACCUGCUGUAACCACCAGCAUUGCUUUCUUAGAUGACAAAUAAUCAUUAAAGGUCAUACAAGUUGCUCUGGAGGAAGACAGCGUGGUUAUCUGUAAUAGCAGAUUCAUUCCCCAACUAGAUAUCUAGGGCAGGCUACUGGCCAGUCUGAGUAAGGCAGGAUGAUGGCCAGGGACUUCUAAAGCACAGAUCCUGGGACUGGAGAGAUGGCUCAAUGGUUAAGAGCACUUGGCUGCUCUUGUAGAGGAUCCGGGUUUGGUUCCCAGCAUCCACAUGGCUGCUCACAACCAUCUGUAACUCCAGUUUCAGGGGAUCAAAUGCCCUCUGAUGGCCUCCACGGGAACUAGGCAUAAACAUGGUGUGUGGACAUAGAGACAAACCACUCAUAUGCAUUGCCAUGGUAACUUCGAUUUCAAAUCUUUAGUAUUUUACAGGUUGCACAAAAUUAACUAAAGAGGUUCUUUGGGGCCACUGAAGAGACUUGGUGGGUAAAGGCAUGUGCUGCUAAGCCUGACAACCUGAGUUCAAUCCCCAUGGCUGACAUGGUGGAAAGAGAGAACACCAACUUUUGCAAGUGACCUCCACAUGCACACCCAAGCAUAUCACCCAAAUAAACCAAUGCAGUAAAGAAUAUUUUUAAUUAAAAAGAACAGAUUCCUUGGUUGGGAAUAUAAAGUGUAGAGGUACCUAAUUCUAAAAGAAUCCUGUCUGGGGGUAGGGAUGGGACAAGAGGGUGGGUUAAAGGGAACCUAGGGCUUUGCACAUACUAGGCCAUCUACACUGAGCUACACCCCCGGCUAAACUUUUAGAAAACUUUUUGAGUUCAAAUGAAAGUAAAGGACUGGAAAUAUAUCUCAGGAGUUCCAGGAGCCCUCACCUACCAUGUGUAAGGCCCUAGGUUCAAUCCCUAGUAUAUGGGAGGGUACAAAGCAGGAUGGUGUUAAAACUGAAAUAAAGAAAUGAAAGCAGAAGCAAGCUGGUGGGAGAGGCAGGAGGAGUAUAACUUCAACUCUGUGUCAACGUAAGAAAGAAAGCAGGAGAGACACUUCAACUUGAAACUCUCUUUAGUCCUAAGGGCAGAAGCAAAUAGUCCAGACAGUCCAGGACAACUAGAAAAGUGCAAACUGCAAAACAGGAAAUAGCUCUUGGCUAGCUGUCAGAGAACUGUGAACUGCUGAAAAUUCAAUCUAUUUUAAUUUUGAGUUUCUUUCUUAAAACCCAGAGUCUGUGCAAGACCUGGUUCAAUCCAGUUCCGCAAAACAAACUUAACAUAGCCCCUCACUUAGCAAAUUAUUUAGAUGUCUGCUACUAAAACAUGUUCUGACCCAAACCUUUAAUCACCCUAGAUUUCUUAUGUCCUAUUUCUGGGAAGGUUACAGCUCUACCCACAGCCAUAUUUACUGUCUUGUCACUAUGGCUAAACAUCGCCCUCAACUUGUUUACCAUCAAGAAUCUUUUUAUUUUUAAAGAGACACAGUCUUACUGAAUUGCCUGGGCUGGCCUUUAUUUUUAAAGAAACACAGUCUCACUGUGUUGCCCGGGCUGGCCGCCAAGUUCUGAGCUCAAGUGACUCUCUUAUCUCAGCUCAAGGAGCGGCGACCAAGCUGUAUGUACCUGCAUCUCACCGUCAUUUCCAAAGGUCAAGCAUGACACUAUGUUACAGCUCUAUGCAUAGGGACUAUAUCUCUCUCUAAACAGCCUGUAAACUCUUGAGCAUGCAGGGACCCCGAUUCCAACAUUGCCUUGCCUACAGUAAGCUCUCAAACGGUUACUGAAUGAUCAAGAAAAGUACUUACCAGUCUCUUCAGGCGUCUUAUACACAGCCCAGAUUAUACAUCCAACCUAAGGCUAGACAACAACCUCAUUUUUAAAAGGCAUUAUCUAGAGACAGAAGAGCUUAGAGAAUCAAGCUUUUUAAACACCGGAAGCAGAUUUCCAUAGAAAGAAGAAAAAUAAUUUAUUCCAAAGAUGUAGAAGUAAGAAAUUCAUCCUGAAAAUAGAGCUUGAUGUACAUCUGCUUGGGUAGAGCUUCUCUUGGGCGGGGACUCCUGACUGCUCCACCGAGUCUUAUUUGUCUUGCAGCAAUUUUAAACACAUCGCUGACUCUCAUGUUGUGAGCUGGCAAGAGCCAUAUUCAAAGCCACGGGUUCCAAGACAACAGUAACAGAUUUCUCGAAACGGCAUCUUUUCUCUCGGCGGAGUACAGACACAUCUCACAGAGUCAGCUAAGUAGGCACAUAAUUCUUCAGAGUGUGAAAAAGGUGUAGGGAAAAAAUACUGUAUGCAGAGGAAGGUCUUCAAGUGUAAGGCCGGUAAUAAUGCCCAAAGUAGGCUACCGAAGAAAGUGGUCUGGGUGUGGAGGUGGUUUUGCAUCUAGAAGGCAUUCUUUCUCUGAUCUGCAAAACAAAACAGUUUUAAUAACUUAAGAUCCUCUAACAUCUAGGUCCUUCACCCUUCAAAAGAGCAGAAAGGGGGCUGGAGAGGUGGCUCAGCAGUUAAGAGCACUGCUGCUCUUCCAGGGGAUGUGGGUUCAAUUCCCAGCACACACAGGGCAGCAUACAACCAUCUGUAACUCCACUCCUAGGGGAUCCAAUGGCCUCUUCUAGCCAUCAAAGACAUUACACACACAUGGCACGCAGACAGACAAGCUUGCAAAACACCCGAAUGUAUGUAUGUAUGUAAGUAUGUAUGUAUGUAUAUAUGUAUAUAAAAUUUAAGAAAUGGGGUAUUAAAAGCCAGGUGGUGGUGGUGCACACCUUUAAUCCCAGCACUCGGGAGACUGAGGCAGGAGGAUCUCUGUGAGUUCGAGACCAGACUGGUCUACAAGAGCUAGUCCAGGACAGCCUCCAAAGCCACAGAGAAACCCUAUCUCAAAAAACCACACACACAAAAAUAAUUAAUAAUAAAAAUAAAGAAGUGGGGUAUUAAAAGUAGCCAGGGCUACAGCAUACAUACAACCAAACACCCUUACACAUAAAAUUAAAAAAUGGGAGCAAGAAGAGAUUGAUUGAGGAAGGGAGAGAUCGAGCAGACCUGCAAACCCAGCUGCUUCAGAGACUGAGGAAGGAACCAUAAGGCUAGCCUAAGCAACUUAGUGAGGUCCUCUCUCAAAAUAAAAAGUGAGCUGUUUGUGGUGCUGCACACCUUCAAUCCCAGCACUCAAGAGGCAGAGGCAGGUGGAUCUCUGUGAGUUUGAGACCAGCUUGGGCAAUACAGUGAGACUGUCUAUUCUUCUCCCCUCCCCCAACACAAAGUUAACCAGGUCAGUACUUUAAAAUCAAACCUCAGAUGAAGACCAGGCUUAUUCAUCACACAGGUUUGGGCAGGUUCUAGAGGAGGUCCAAUUACCAAGGACAUCACUAUCAUAUAACUACACAAACAGUAAUGUGACUUACGAAAAGCAGGAAAAGAAAAAAAGCUGACUAACACAAGAAGCUGGAAUUUAGUGAACUCCUGAGCUCUUUGCUUCCCCUCUCAGUGCAAGCUUCUUGUCUUACCCCUUGGACUCCAGGCUGCCUUUCAGGCUGUUCCUCAUUCUGACUACCCCAGGCACAGGUGACAAUGACAACACUACCCAUGUAAAGAUGUCAAAUGUUUAAUGUCAGUGUCUCCACACUCUGGCUGCUCAGUAGGGGGAAGAGAGGCAGCUCUGGGGCUACACAGAUGGCUCAGCAGUUGAGAGUGUGUGCUGUCGGGCUGGAGAGGUGGCUAUGCUAGGCUCACAACCAAAAAGACAAGAGUGCCUGCUGUUCUUUCAGGACCAGAGUUCGGUUCCUGACAACUCUUAUCAGGAAGCUCACAACCACCUUCUGGGGCCCCAUUAAGUCUCCUUACAGGAUACUUCAAACAGCAUGCAUUCAACUCAAGAUUUAAUGAGAGGCAGGUCUGGGACUGUGGCUCCUUGACAGAGUGAUAGAGCGCAUGCUCAGCGUGCCCUGGACCCUGAGUUCAAUCCCUUGUAUUUUUGCCUGGCUCCAUAUUGGUAAUAUCCCACAUUACUAACAUAAAGCAUGCCACCAGUAAACCACACAAUCCUACAGGACAAGCAGUAGUUGAGAGAUCUAAUAGGACACUAAAGGAGAUGCUCCAUAGACAGGCUUGGGAGACUAAACCCCCCAAACAUAGGUUGCAUAAUGCUUUAUUAACACUAAACUUUCUUAAUGCUAAUGAGAAAGGACAAACAGCUGCAGAACGACAUUGAACAAUGGAAAGAACUGCUGAACUAAAUCAGCCGGUAUACUUCAAAGAUGUACUAACCUUUGUAUGGAAACCAGGACAUGUGUUACGAUGGGGUAGGGGUUUUGCAUUGGUUUCCACAGGAAAAGAAAAACUUUGGAUACCAUCAGAGUUGAUCAAGAUUCGAGUUGAAAAGGGACCUCUGGAUGAGGAGAAAUGACAAGUAUUCUACUAAGGUAUAUCUCAUAAACUAAAUAGAAACCUCCCAAAAGAAAGGGAAGUGUUUUGCUUUUAUCUUCACAGGAAAACUCAUCUCCAGAAGUCAAAAAGGACACUGCAUGGGUAGAUACUUAAGAAGAGAAUGUAGCUAUAACCAUCAAACAAAACGAACAUGCCAUACGGUAAACUUUACAGCUGUCUCUCAGAGAACUCUAUUUCUCUUUAUUUCCUAGUCCCUAUUCAAUUAAACCAAUGCUGGAUUUAGAGGUGGAUUUGGCUUUCCACCUCUAAAAUCCAAGCACGUUGUUUAACUAAACUUUAGCAUUUCUGUAUUGUAUCAAGAAGCCAAUUGAUGUAAUACAGAAUAAGAGAAGAAUUUGGGGACUGUCUUUGUCUUUUCUUGGCUCUUUCUUUCAAGGUGUAUACCCUCUCAUAAUUGUCAUGCUCCCAUGGUUGCUUUUUCCAGUAUACAUACAUACACAAGCAAACAUUUCUCUGCUAACAUUUAUGUUUGAGUCCCACACAGCCAAUGAAGACCUGCCUGACAGCAAUCCCUGGACUCCCUGGAAAGAAAAUGGGCCACACCUCCUCCACUGCACUGGAUCCAACGUGCUCCAUUUCAAUGGACACUCCGGCCAGAGCUUUGGGUACUGACUUCAAUCAAGUUGAGGAUUUCAAGCCAGAUCUUCAAUCAAGUAAAUCCCAUCUAACAUGGACUGGAUACAAACUAUUCAAGACUUUCACUAUACUAACAUUUUCUUCCCACAGGACCCCACAAGGCUAUCAUCAUCCCAUUUCAGCAGGAAGUAACUUGGAGGAUGCUACGCCCCCUUUCCCCAUUGUUGUCACUUAGGAUAGUAUAUAUACCUAGUUAGGGAUAGCUUCCUAUUGUUUAUGGUUGGGAUUGGAAGGACAUGUUCAGGCUUGGACACCUCUUUCAGAUGACUUUAGGGCUUAGCUAAAAUAGACAUAGUUAGGAUGUGACAUAAGCAGAUUGUUGUAUCUUCUUAUAUUUCACCUUUAUGAUUGUUAAUUUUGGAUACUUUACACUGCUAAGUGUUAAUUCUCUUUUAGACUGAAAGGGGAAUUGUAGGGGAUGCUGUAGCCAUGCCUGCUUAGGGACUGGCUACAAGUGUGCCUGACCACGCCUGUGAGGGCAUGGUGAGGGUGACGUGACAUAGGGAAGGUUUAAGAGUGAGGGACACUCACGUGGCGGCCCUGCUUUCUCUUUCAUCUUUAGCUCGCUGUACAGACUGCUGCCCGCUGGCUGACUAGGCCACUCUGUAAGUAAAGCUUUUCCCUAUUAAAUUCCCUUGUAUUUUUACCUGGCUCCAUAUUGAUAAUAUCCCACAUUAAGUGGCCAUGAAGCAAGCACAAUUGGCAGGCAGAGCCCUGAAACAUCUGAAGCAUAAAGGGGUGGUGAGAGCUGAGGUGAAGCUAGCACCAUACCCAGCAAAGUACACUUGCUGAUCUGCCUUCAAAAUGACGUGAACAUGGUAGGGCAGUGAGAGGCACAAGAGCUGUGUAUGCUAACGAGGUAACAACAUGAGAACUGCAGGCCUGGGACUACCAGGUCAGGAGCAGAGGCUCGGGAAGGAAGAGGAGGUUCCACAUCCUACAGUACAUCUCAAGGGGUGCAUUGCCACUAAAACUAGAUACUCGGGUUAAAAUGACACAACCUGAGCCUGCUAUAACCAGAAGCUGCUGCUCAAAGCUUCUAGGCAUACAGCAGUCUUUCUCAAAAAGUGUGCCGAGGCUGAAGGAAUAGCAUAGUGUUGGCUGCUUUCACAGAG
ensembl:lncRNA